rnacentral:rRNA from 1 species
CAGUAGCCGCGGGAAUACAGAGGGUGCGAGCGUUAAUCGGAUUUACUGGGCGUAAAGCGUGCGUAGGCGGCUUCUUAAGUCGGAUGUGAAAUCCCUGAGCUUAACUUAGGAAUUGCAUUCGAUACUGGGAAGCUAGAGUAUGGGAGAGGAUGGUAGAAUUCCAGGUGUAGCGGUGAAAUGCGUAGAGAUCUGGAGGAGUACCGAUGGCGAAGGCAGCCAUCUGGCCUAAUACUGACGCUGAGGUACGAAAGCAUGGGGAGCAAACAGGAUUAGAUACCCCGUAGUCCCUGUCUCUUAUACA